GACGAACGCUGGCGGCGUGCUUAACACAUGCAAGUCGAACGAAGUGGCGAACGGGUGAGUAACGCGUAAUCAACCUGCCCUUCAGAGGGGGACACCAGUUGGAAACGACUGCUAAUACCGCAUACUGAAGGCGGGGCUUGCGUCUGAUUAGCUAGUUGGAGGGGUAACGGCCCCCCAAGGCGAUGCUCAGUAGCCGGUAUGAGAGGACGAACGGCAACAUUGGGACUUAGAAACUGCCCAGAAUCCUACGGGAGGCAGCAGUGGGGAAUCUUCCGCAAUGGACGAAAGUCUGACGGAGCAACGCCGCGUGAGGGAUGACGGCCUUCGGGUUGUAAAGCGCUGUUAAUCGGGACGCGGUACCGGAAUAGAAAGCCACGGCUAACUACGUGCCAGCAGCCGCGGUAAUAC
rnacentral:rRNA from 1 species